UCAAACUAAAGCUAGGCUUCACCUAGAAACUGCAAGAUUAAAUCUCUCAAUUCAUAUAUUCAUCUCUCCUAUCUCCACCCUACCACUAGGUUGUAUCUCUAGUGGAUCAUUCCGUUUAAAGGUAUUUGGGCUCAGGGGCCCUAUCAUAAGUAAAAUAAGUCCAAUACUAAAUUGUUUCCUAAAGUGACCCAAUCCAAAUAAAAAAAAAAAUAAGAGCCAUUGUAUGAGCUAUUAGAAUUGGGAAACAAAAUAUCAAAAGAUAUUUCAUCUGCCCCAUUCUACCUCUGAUGAACUUGAGCCUAGGUAGUUGUCAUAAUCAUCUGUAAUACUGCUCCUAGAGUAAUUUCCUCAUAGAUUUCAUAUCUUCUGUGGUAUACCUUGUUCCAACAUCUAAGAUAAGUAUUUCUCUUCCAUUUAUUGAUUGAAGCUUUUAAUUGUGGCAUUGAUUUCCCUUUCUUUAAGUUGAUUAAUCCUUAGAUUUAGGUACACAAACCACCACUUUUAAAAGAUAAUUAGUCUACUUGAGCUUCUUAUUAUCUAAAUCUUCUUCUUCUAGAUCAAUUGAUCCUAUAUGCUUGAAAUGACUGGAAAUCUCCGCCUCUUCUCCAUUUAUCCAAGAAUAUAGGUUCUGAUGAUCAACCUCUGACUCAUGCAUAGUCCGAUCUCCUACAACAUCAACAAUUCUACUUUGGAAAAUAGAGUUAAUGAUCAAAGAACGAGAAAAAAAGAAGAAGAUUUGCCAAAAAAACUACCCACAAGUCAACCUACGACUAAUAGGUAGUACCUAUGAUUGGUAGGUAGCAACGUGGGUUAAAGUCAAUAAGAUAACAUUUGUUCCUUAUUUCCAUGAGACUACUUACAAGGUGUAAGUACAAGUGAAGACCCAUAGAAUGCCUUGUCAGUAGGAGAUGCUUCAAAGUUGUAUAUUCACUUUAAUUUCCACGAUCUAAGGCACAAUUCCUGAGUUGUGCUUACGACUCAAUCCACAAAUCGUGAGUUGAUGCCGACUCUGGUUUCCUACACUACUAAUGAUAGGCUUUCUUAUGUAUCUAUAAAUACCAUUAAUAUGUUCUAUUACUAGU